UACGAGAGGCCCAAGCGUUAUUCGGAUUUACUGGGCUUAAAGAGUUCGUAGGCGGCGCAGUAAGUGGGGUGUGAAAGCCCUCGGCUCAACCGAGGAAUUGCGCUCGAAACUACUGUGCUCGAGGAAGCUAGAGGUGAGCGGAACUGAUGGUGGAGCGGUGAAAUGCGUUGAUAUCAUCAGGAACACCGGAGGCGAAGGCGGCUCACUGGGGCUUUUCUGACGCUGAGGAACGAAAGCCAGGGGAGCGAACGGG
rnacentral:rRNA from 1 species